GGCACUUUGUCUCUGCCGGGUCCCUUUCGGAAAACCGGUGACCCGGCGGCCCGGCGCGUCUCGGGGCGGGGGCAGCACAGCGUGCACGGUCCUCUCCAAGCGUUUUGCUGGGGACAAGUGCCUUUCUCUGAGGUUUACAACUCGCCCCGGCUCUGCUCAGGCGCCCACGGUAGCCGGAACUGGGCUGCAGCCUCCCCAGAUCACACUAAACCCGAGCCGUUGCGAGGCCCCGGGUUGCCCAAAGAUUGACAACGAUCAGGAGCUAAGUCUGCUUUCCGGGGACCUCGUGGGGAGCUCUGUGCCCAGCACUUUUCUCUCGGACUCUCUGCUGGGGGAGAGAAAGAAAAGAAAAAAAAAGAAAAAGAAAAAGAAAAAGAAAAGUUUCUUUCGGGGGAAGCAGUGAAACAGGAAAUGAAGAUUCGCUCUGUAGUUUAGCUGAAAGGAAACGCUGUCUAAUCCUGACAUGUAUCGCAUUUAAAAUAAAAUUCUUUUAUCUUCAUGCGUGCCAAGCCCCCAGACAUUGUUCGGACUCCUACGGGGGGAAAGACGUCAUAAAAUGAGAAUUUGUUUCAUUGUGGGUCGCUCUGCCAACACCGGGCUUUAAAGGAACGCCAAACAAAGCGGGCGCCAGGAGGGGGCUUCCCAGGUGGCUCUCAACUUGAGUGUGCAGCACAAUCACGUGCAGAGCUUGGUCAGCUGAUUGCUGGACACUACGCACAAGGAGCAUGCCUGGAUACACAGCUUAGGGACAAGAAACCUACGCUCACCAAGUGUCCACCAGCUCCUCGGCAAGGAGGGAGUAAAACGAAUUUUUUCUGCCACAACUUCUCUAGGCAUUUGUCUGGUCUUCUGCUGGAAAAUGUGGAUGUGGUUGUGAUCAUACUAGACCCUGGGAAUAAGGACAAACCUGAUGAAUGGUGAAGUGAGCAGAAAGAAAGUGGAUCCCAGAGGACUUUUCAGAGAGGAGCUUCCAGGCCAGCCCUAGGCUAUACAUCUGUGGACUUUGAAGCAAGAGAUAACUACUAUCUGUAUAAGGAACUUAGAUGGAAGCCAAAAGACCCAGCUGAUAUAUGAUGGAAUCCACGCUGCCCCCAGUGUACCACAGGAGAGGCAGAGCUGUCCUUUGCUGCUGGUGACUCAGUCCCUCCAAUGCCCCUCUUCGUCUUCCCCCUGUGUCAGGCUAUUGGAUCACUGCAGCACCCCCUGGAGCCCCGAAGCCAUGGCCUCACCACCACAGUGACGAUUUCAAAUGCCAGCUCUGGCUGAGGCUAAGGUUGCUGGCAUGAAAUCAAGUCUGCCAUUAGCACAAUGUCCAGGGAACAUUUGGGCAGCUAUCUGUCCCUCUCAGCCCAGGUACAUGGGGGUUAUGUUGA
rnacentral:lncRNA from 1 species